rnacentral:rRNA from 1 species
GUGGCGAACGGGUGAGUAACACGUGAGCAAUCUGCCCUUGACUCUGGGAUAACUGCGGGAAACUGUAGCUAAUACCGGAUACUUUCCUCGCUGGGCAUCCAGCGGGGAAGAAAGAAUUUCGGUCAAGGAUGAGCUCGCGGCCUAUCAGCUAGUUGGUGAGGUAAAGGCUCACCAAGGCGACGACGGGUAGCCGGCCUGAGAGGGUGACCGGCCACACUGGAACUGAGACACGGUCCAGACUCCUACGGGAGGCAGCAGUGGGGAAUAUUGCACAAUGGGCGAAAGCCUGAUGCAGCAACGCCGCGUGAGGGAUGAAGGCCUUCGGGUUGUAAACCUCUUUUAGCAGGGAAGAAGCGAAAGUGACGGUACCUGCAGAAAAAGCACCGGCUAAUUACGUGCCAGCAGCCGCGGUAAUACGUAGGGUGCAAGCGUUGUCCGGAAUUAUUGGGCGUAAAGAGCUCGUAGGCGGUUUGUCACGUCUGCUGUGAAAAUCCGAGGCUCAACCUCGGACUUGCAGUGGGUACGGGCAGGCUAGAGUGCGGUAGGGGAGAAGGGAAUUCCUGGUGUAGCGGUGGAAUGCGCAGAUAUCAGGAGGAACACCAAUGGCGAAGGCACUUCUCUGGGCCGUAACUGACGCUGAGGAGCGAAAGCGUGGGGAGCGAACAGGAUUAGAUACCCUGGUAGUCCAC